ensembl:lncRNA
AAGCGGCGGCAGCAGUGACGGGACAGCACCCGACGGCGGGAACCACGCGGCCCUCCUCGCCGGACCCGGCGGCUCCCACUUCCUCCUCCGAGGCGGACGGCGAAUGUGUUUCCGGGAGGAAAACCGUCCCCAGUUCCCGGGCGGGCCCUGACCCCUGGGUCCGUGGGGGGCUGGCAGGGCAAGCAGAAGGCGGGGGCGCCCCCGGGUCGCCAUCACGGCCAGAGCCCGGGAGCCAGCCGAGGCCCCCGGCACCACGUCGUCCCCGCCGGCGACACCUCGCCCGUCGCCUCGCACUGAGGAGCGGGAUCCUCCGCGCUGCCGCGACGACCCCCGAGGUCGCCCGCCCUCCCAGAAGGCCCAGCGCGGCCCCGGGACAGCCCCGCCCCCGCCGCCCUCCGCGGCCCUUAUUGGCCGACGCUCCUGCCACUCAGCCGAGCGCGCCUAUCCGGGCUCCGGCGGGGAGGCGGGGCCGCAGUCUCCUCCCGGCCCCCGCCGCCUCAGGUGCCUCGGCUCCGCGCUCCCCGGAGCGGGUCCACGCCCGCCUGAGCCUCGCGGCCUCCCGCGACCUGCGUGAAAUCUUUCUCAGUCGCUCCUGACCCCGCGAGGGCUAGUUCCGCCUCACAGGCCGGACACGUAAGGGCCACCCAGGUUGAGGCACCCGCCCCAGACCCACCUGCCGGGAUCGCAGUAAUGGCCCCAGAAGGAACUGUUCGCGGCUUGGCGCCGCUGGCCGGGUGGUUACACUGUUCCGGACUCGUUGCCUCAUCUGUGAAAUGGGGACAGUAAUGUCCGCCUUGGGAAGCUGGUGUGAGGAACACGUAGGAGCGGAGUCUAGCGCCAGGACUGGCCUGUGGUUCAACAAGUCUGAUUCCCCUAACCACUUACAGAGGCCCAUUCACCAAGUCUUCUGGUCACUUGCGUUCUUCUCUUCUGACUUCUUUCCAACUUCCCUCUCCCUGAAGUCAUUUACCUGAAUCAGAGGACCAGUUUUGCUCCAGCUACAUUCAUCCUACAGGCCUGCUUUUUCUCUAAGUAGUUGGCAAGGAGCACAGCUGUGUUCCAGGAGGGAAGCCUGGUCUCACAGGAGCAGUGCAGUGACGUCCCAAGCCCAGCCAGCCAAGGAUGCAGAUGGUCCUGGCCUAGAGGAACCCCACAGAAAUCAGCAAGAAGCCCACCUCCAGACAGUGUCUGGCCUCAAAUCCCAGAGGAACCCACCAUCCUCUUCCUCUUCACCAUCCUCUACUUACCUGUGCUACCAAAAGAGUGAAGCUACAUUCCCACACUCCCUUGGGUUGACCCUCUUCCUACAAAACUGGGACAAGCAACCUCCUGGACACACUGAUGCCUCUCUAGUAGUGAGCCCUUCGUGGGAGGAAGACUUCAAAAAGCUUUCCAGAGGCUCGACAGAGCCAGAUCAUCCCAUUUUUCCCAUAAGAUGCAAACAGAAGACUCCUGGAUGCUGCUUCCAGAAUAAAUUUUUCUGGGAAAAAGGAAUAGUUGUAGCCAGUACAACCCUGCCAUUCCCCCUUGGUGCUGCCUUGAAUGUGCCGCUCACAGUUCCCACCCAGAAAAUUAUCUAACUGCCCAGAGCUGUCUUUCUUUGGAAGCAGAAGACUUCCAUUCCCUGCUUCUCUGAGGGCCGUCUUCGUGCCCAGGGAGCUGGGUGCUCUUGCGGCACAAUGAGAUGUGUGUCCUCACAACAAGGGUGAGGACACCAGGGAUGGGGUAAAGCCUGCUGUGUAGUGCUGACCACUACGUCUCCUCACACCCCUAUGUGACUUUGCUCUCCCAUCAUGCUCCUCUCCUCGGAGAGCACUCAGUCUUGGAAAAACCCACCAUUCUCCGUGACCAUACAACUGUGAUCAUUCAAGCUGCCCAUUGGUCAGCGUCUGCCACCUAAUAGGAAGCUUUGGUCCUAGCAUGAAUCCAUUCUCAGGAGAGACAGAUUGUGUGUGAGAGGAGGUACACACAGUGGGCAGUGCCCAGGUUCAAGACCAACUGCCUAGAUUCGAUCUUUUUUCUGCCUCUUACCAUGGCUGGAAUUGUAGACGAAUUUACUUUUGUCCCUCAUUCCCUUAGCUGUUAAGGGACAUAAUGCAUCUGUAGACCUCACUGUGUUGCUGUGGGGGUUGAAUGAGUUAAUUGGCAUGAGGCUUUAAGAGCUGUGCCAGGCAAGGGUGCCUAGGUGGCUUCCGACUCACUUUUUUUUUUUUAAGAUUUUAUUUAUUUAUUCAUGCAAGUCACACAGAGAGAGGCAGAGACACAGGCAGAGGGAGGAGCAGGCUCCCUGCAGGGAGCCUGAUGCUGGACUCGAUUCCAGGACCCCGGGAUCAUGACUUGAGCCAAAGGCAGACACUUAACCAGACAGACGCUCAACCACCGAGCCACCCAGGCGCCCCUCCAACUCAGUUUCAACUCAGGUCAUGAUCUCAGGGUCCUGGGAUCAAGUCCAACAUUAAGCUCCAAGCUCUGCUGAGAGACUGCUUGGGCUUCUCUACCUCUACCCCUUCUCCCCCACACAUGCACACUCUCUGUCAAGUAAAUAAAUCGUUAAAAAAAAAAAAAGAAGUGUGCUGG